rnacentral:rRNA from 1 species
GUCCACGCCCUAAACGUUGCAUACUCGGUUUUAGCGAUAUACCGUUAGGACCCAAGCGAAAGCGUUAAAGUAUGCCACCUGGGAAGUACGUCCGCAAGGAUGAAACUCAAAGGAAUUGACGGGGGCCCGCACAAGCGGAGGAGCAUGUGGUUUAAUUCGAUGAUACGCGAGGAACCUUACCUGGGCUUGAAUGUGAGUGACCGCUGCCGAAAGGUGGCUUCCCUUCGGGGCACAAACAAGGUGCUGCAUGGCUGUCGU